rnacentral:misc_RNA from 1 species
GAACCUAGAGUUUGCUUUGCAGCUGCAAGAGAGUGCAGAGGAGAGUGGGAAAGGUAUUGGUGGAAUAGAUGACGAGGAGAUGCCAUUUAAUAUGGCCUCUAAAGGGAAGAAAGAUCCUGAUGCUUCCCCUGGCUUUGAUGGAAACAUUACAGAUUCAAGGAGCAGUGGAAUGAGCAUGAGCAUAGGCGGCCGGAGCCUUGCUAGUGAAGACUCAGAUGGAUUGACACCAAGUGCUGUGUUCUCACAGAUCAUGAACCCGAAAGGUCGUUGAGAUCGUAGGGACUGCGUUUGCUGCUACACCAAAAUCUGCAAAUUUCCAUCUACUGUCAAUCAUCUAAGGAACUGAUUUGGCAAUUCAUUUAAUCACUAUUUUUUAAAAAACUUCUUUCAAUGUUAAUGGUAUGUUAUGAUCAAUUCAAUUAUAAUUUGUAUCUACAAUUACUUGAAGAGUGUAAAAAAUAAGUUGUUGGCACUUCCAUUCGCUAUAGCACAUUAUUAUUUGGCAUUGACAUCAUAUUUUCAUGCUCUGAUGCUUAGAUCCUGCGAGUCUUCUCUUCUUCCCAGUUAGGUAGACUGGAUGGGUUUGAUUUCUGAAACAAGUAAUGGGAACAAAACAAAGUUGUGGGUGACCCAAUUACAAUAAAAAUGGGGUCUACUAAACCAUCCCAUGUGGGUGGAGCCAUGUUGAAGGUUGUAAUGUGACAGAUGAUCAAGGACAGUGACAUUCCAACCUUGCCUGCCCUAAAAUUGUAUAAAAGAGAAUUGAUUAGGGAAGAAUAUUAGGAUCAGCUGGCAAAGGCAGUGGGAGAGCUGUAUGUUUAUUUUCUACUUUGUCUAGUGGCCAGCCUCAUCUUUUCGCUGACUAAUU